AGUGAACGCUGGCGGUAGGCCUAACACAUGCAAGUCGAACGGCAGCGCAGUAAGAGCUUGCUCUUACGGGUGGCGAGUGGCGGACGGGUGAGGAAUACAUCGGAAUCUACUUUUUCGUGGGGGAUAACGUAGGGAAACUUACGCUAAUACCGCAUACGACCUACGGGUGAAAGCAGGGGAUCUUCGGACCUUGCGCGAUUGAAUGAGCCGAUGUCGGAUUAGCUAGUUGGCGGGGUAAAGGCCCACCAAGGCGACGAUCCGUAGCUGGUCUGAGAGGAUGAUCAGCCACACGGGAACUGAGACACGGUCCAGACUCCUAAGGGAGGCAGCAGUGGGGAAUAUUGGACAAUGGGCGCAAGCCUGAUCCAGCCAUACCGCGUGGGUGAAGAAGGCCUUCGGGUUGUAAAGCCCUUUUGUUGGGAAAGAAAAGCAGCAGGUUAAUACCCCGCUGUUCUGACGGUACCCAAAGAAUAAGCACCGGCUAACUUCGUG
rnacentral:rRNA from 1 species